rnacentral:rRNA from 1 species
UACGUAGGGGGCUAGCGUUAUCCGGAAUUACUGGGCGUAAAGGGUGCGUAGGCGGUCUUUCAAGCCAGAAGUGAAAGGCUACGGCUCAACCGUCGUAAGCUUUUGGAACUGUAUGACUUGAGUGCAGGAGAGGAGAGUGGAAUUCCUAGUGUAGCGGUGAAAUGCGUAGAUAUUAGGAGGAACACCAGUAGCGAAGGCGGCUCUCUGGACUGUAACUGACGCUGAGGCACGAAAGCGUGGGGAGCAAACAGG